rnacentral:rRNA from 1 species
GAACUUAAGCAUAUCAAUAAGCGGAGGAAAAGAAACUAACAAGGAUUCCCCUAGUAACUGCGAGUGAAGCGGGAAAAGCUCAAAUUUGAAAUCUGGCGGUCUUUGAUCGUCCGAGUUGUAAUCUAGAGAAGUUGUUACCUGUGCAGGACCAUGUACAAGUCUCCUGGAAUGGGGCAUCAUAGAGGGUGAGAAUCCCGUCUUUGACAUGGACUACCUGCAUGUUGUGGUGCGCUCUCAAAGAGUCGAGUUGUUUGGGAAUGCAGCUCAAAAUGGGUGGUAAAUGCCAUCUAAAGCUAAAUAUUGGCGAGAGACCGAUAGCGAACAAGUACCGUGAGGGAAAGAUGAAAAGAACUUUGGAAAGAGAGUUAAACAGUACGUGAAAUUGCUGAAAGGGAAACGCUUGAAGUCAGUCACAUUGGCCAGAAAUCAGCCUUGCUUCUGUGAGGUGUACUUUCUGUUUGAUGGGUCAGCAUCAGUUUUGAUCACUGGAUAAAGUCUCUGGGAAUGUGGCAUCUUCGGAUGUGUUAUAGCCCAUUUUCACAUGCAGUGGUUGGGAUUGAGGAACUCAGCACGCCGAAAGGCCAGGUUUCGACCAUGUUCGUGCUUAGGAUGCUGGCAUAAUGGCUUUAAUCGACCCGUCUUGAAACACGGACCAAGGAGUCUAACAUGCCUGCGAGUGUUUGGGUGGAAAACCCAUGCGCGCAAUGAAAGUGAAAGUUGAGAUCCCUCUUAGUAGGUGAGCAUCGACGCCCGGACCAGACCUUUUGUGACGGAUCUGCGGUAGAGCAUGCAUGUUGGGACCCGAAA